GCAUCAGGGAUAUCUGUGAAAAAGUUUCAUUCAAGAGCCUUUCGCCCGAUGUCAGCUGGGAUUGACUGAGUGUGAUUUUGAACUAUUUAUUUGAAGAAACAGGCAGUAAAUGAGGAUGUGUGACAUCUGGAAGCGCUCAGAAGGCAGGACUGAAACCUCCCCCCUUGUCGUUUUGCAGGGCACAAACAUCA